GCUUAUGCGUUGUUGGGUAGGGGAGCGUUCUGUAAGCCUGUGAAGGUGUGUCGUGAGGCAUGCUGGAGGUAUCAGAAGUGCGAAUGCUGACAUAAGUAACGAUAAAGCGGGUGAAAAGCCCGCUCGCCGGAAGACCAAGGGUUCCUGUCCAACGUUAAUCGGGGCAGGGUGAGUCGACCCCUAAGGCGAGGCCGAAAGGCGUAGUCGAUGGGAAACGGGUUAAUAUUCCCGUACUUGGUGUUACUGCGAAGGGGGGACGGAGAAGGCUAUGUUGGCCGGGCGACGGUUGUCCCGGUUUAAGCGUGUAGGUGUGUGUUCCAGGUAAAUCCGGUUCACUUUAACACUGAGGCGUGAUGACGAGGCACUACGGUGCUGAAGUAACAAAUGCCCUGCUUCCAGGAAAAGCCUCUAAGCAUCAGGUAACAUCAAAUCGUACCCCAAACCGACACAGGUGGUCAGGUAGAGAAUACCAAGGCGCUUGAGAGAACUCGGGUGAAGGAACUAGGCAAAAUGGUGCCGUAACUUCGGGAGAAGGCACGCUGACACGUAGGUGAAGUGAUUUACUCAC
rnacentral:rRNA from 1 species